rnacentral:lncRNA from 1 species
AGUCAACAUUUUUUCAAAUCUUUUUUUACAAUUUUUGUUUGUAAUAUAUAUACACUAAAAAUACUUUAUCAAUAGAACUUGUACCAGCCAGAAAUAAAAUUUAUCCACAGAAAUUUUGGACUGCUAGUUGAAUGUGCAAACCAGAGAAGAAGCAAAGAAAGAAGAAACAGCACGCUGGCCAGAUCUUCAGCGAGAGAAAGCAAGCUCUCAUCUCGUGCCACCCGGAUUUUAGACCGGCCUGCUCGUUCCCGGCCCAGCGGAAAAGAAGGCCCAACAAACAAUGGCUUACUCAUCCGGCUAGCCCAACAAACAACGCACGCAGCGACACUGGGAGCAGCCCUGCUCGGAAAAAAAAA